rnacentral:tRNA from 1 species
GGGGCUGGGGCUCAGUGGUAGAGCACUUGCCUGGCAUGUGUGAAGCACUGGGUUCGAUUCUCAGCACCG